rnacentral:tRNA from 1 species
GUCUCAAUAGCUCAGUGGUAGAGCAUGCGAUUGCAGAUCGUGCGGUCCGGUGUUCGAACCACCGUUGGGACU